rnacentral:rRNA from 1 species
UCGGGAAUUUUGGGCAAUGGGCGAAAGCCUGACCCAGCAACGCCGCGUGAAGGAUGAAGUAUUUCGGUAUGUAAACUUCGUAAGAAUAGGAAGAAUAAAUGACGGUACUAUUUGUAAGGUCCGGCUAACUACGUGCCAGCAGCCGCGGUAAUACGUAGGGACCAAGCGUUGUUCGGAUUUACUGGGCGUAAAGGGUGCGUAGGCGGCAUAUCAAGUCACUUGUGAAAUCUCCGGGCUUAACUCGGAACUGCCAAGUGAUACUGAUGUGCUAGAGUGCAGAAAGGGCAACUGGAAUUCUUGGUGUAGCGGUGAAAUGCGUAGAUAUCAAGAGGAACACCUGAGGCGAAGGCGAGUUGCUAGGCUGACACUGACGCUGAGGUACGAAAGCUAGGGGAGCGAACGGGAUUAGAUACCCUUGUAGUCCCUGAGCGGGCUGGCAAGGCGCAU